UACGUAGGGGGCGAGCGUUGUCCGGAAUCAUUGGGCGUAAAGCGCGUGUAGGCGGCCCGGUAAGUCCGCUGUGAAAGUCGGGGGCUCAACCCUCGAAUGCCGGUGGAUACUGUCGGGCUAGAGUGCGGAAGAGGCGAGUGGAAUUCCUGGUGUAGCGGUGAAAUGCGCAGAUAUCAGGAGGAACACCAAUUGCGAAGGCAGCUCGCUGGGACGUUACUGACGCUGAGACGCGAAAGCGUGGGGAGCAAACAGG
rnacentral:rRNA from 1 species